CUUAGAGUCGGGUUGUUUGGGAAUGCAGCCCUAAGCGGGUGGUAAACUCCWUCCAAGGCUAAAUACCAGCACGAGUCCGAUAGCGAAGAAGUACCGCGAGGGAAGGUUGAAAAGAACUUUGAAGAGAGAGUUCAAGAGUACGUGAAACCGCUGAGAGGCAAACUGGUGGAACUGAAAUGGUCUCGAGGAAUUCAGCCGUUGGUGUUUGUACAGCCGGUGUCGUCUGAUUUAACGACAGCUUCAUCGGUUGACGCUUACGUCAUCGGUGCACUUUCCUCGUUGUGGACCCGACCACGACCGGUGAGCUGCUCUGUCCAUCGUGCUUGGAAGGUAGCGCCGUCUUCGGAAGGCGUGUUAUAGACUUGCGCAUGGAGCAGUACGGCACACUGGACGAUAGUGCCUGCCCAUUGGGCUCAUAUGGUGGUUGUUUUAUUGGCGAGUUCCGAUGUCACUACUUCGGUAGAGGCAUUGGUCUCUGUCAGCAUUAUGACUGUCCGCUAUGAUUGGCGCUGGUAAGUCUGUGGUUGUGAAGUAGGUAGUCCACCUGACCCGUCUUGAAACACGGACCAAGGAGUCUAACAUGUGCGCGAGUCAUUGGGUUCGCGAAACCUAAAGGCGAAGUGAAGGUAAAGAUCUGUUUUGGCAGAUUGAGGUGGGAUGCUGGGUUACGCGCCCAGCCGCACUACCGGCCCGUUCUACAUGUAUCUCAUGGGGGCGGAGCAAGAGCGUACACGUUGGGACCCGAAAGAUGGUGAACUAUGCUUGCGCAGGUCGAAGCCAGAGGAAACUCUGGUGGAGGACCGCAGCGAUUCUGACGUGCAAAUCGAUCGUCAAACGUGAGUAUAGGGGCGAAAGACUAAUCGAACCAUCUAGUAGCUGNGUUCCCUUCGAAGUUUCCCUCAGGAUAGCUGGCACUCGGGAAAUGAAACAGUUUUAUCCGGUAAAGCGAAUGAUUAGAGGUAUUGGGACGAAACUGCUCUCAACCUAUUCUCAAACUU
rnacentral:rRNA from 1 species